rnacentral:rRNA from 1 species
GAUGAACGCUAGCGGGAGGCCUAACACAUGCAAGCCGAGCGGUAUUGUUUCUUCGGAAAUGAGAGAGCGGCGUACGGGUGCGGAACACGUGUGCAACCUGCCUUUAUCUGGGGGAUAGCCUUUCGAAAGGAAGAUUAAUACUCCAUAAUAUAUUGAACGGCAUCGUUUGAUAUUGAAAGCUCCGGCGGAUAGAGAUGGGCACGCGCAAGAUUAGCUAGUUGGUGAGGUAACGGCUUACCAAGGCGAUGAUCUUUAGGGGGCCUGAGAGGGUGAUCCCCAACACUGGUACUGAGACACGGACCAGACUCCUGCGGGAGGCAGCAGUGAGGAAUAUUGGUCAAUGGGUGCAAGCCUGAACCAGCCAUCCCGCGUGAAGGACGACUGCCCUAUGGGUUGUAAACUUCUUUUGUAUAGGGAUAAACCUACCCUCGUGAGGGUAGCUGAAGGUACUAUACGAAUAAGCACCGGCUAACUCCGUGCCAGCAGCCGCCGUAACAC